rnacentral:rRNA from 1 species
CCUACGGGAGGCAGCAGUGGGGAAUAUUGGGCAAUGGAGGCAACUCUGACCCAGCAACGCCGCGUGAAUGAUGAAGGUCUUCGGAUUGUAAAGUUCUGUGAUGGGGGAUGAACACAAUGACGGUACCCCAAUAGCAAGCCACGGGUAACUACGUGCCAGCAGCCGCGGUAAUACGUAGGGGGCGAGCGUUAUCCGGAAUGACUGGGCGCAAGGGGUGCGCAGGUGGUGUAGUAAGUUGGCGGUGUAAUUCCGGGGCUCAACCUAGGCGCUACCGCUAAAACUAUUAGACUAGAGUGCAGGAGGGGGAAGUGGAAUUCCUAGUGUAGCGGUGGAAUGCGUAGAUAUUAGGAGGAACAUCAGAGGCGAAGGCGACCUACUGGACUGUAACUGACGCUGAGGCACGAAAGCGUGGGGAGCAAACAGGAUUAGAUACCCGUGUAGUC